CUCGACAUUUUCUCGAGAGAGGAGUCAUAGCUGGAAGAAAUCAUCAUGGCUUCUGAUCUGGAAAAGAAAAAGGAAAGUGAAGGACGCCAGUCAGAAAAGACAUCACCUGAUAUAACUAACAUGGCGGAGAUCUUGCGGCACAGACGUUGAGCGUACAUUUCCAAAAACACCACAGCAAACAAGAUGCAAUGGAUGACAAGAAUUGAUGCAGUGACAGAGGGAUCUGGAGGACUUGCCGACUGUUUACAGUGGUCAGGGAAGAAGAAAAUGUUCAGCUGCCGUUCUAUUUGAUAUCUCUGAAGGUGCUGGUGGAGUUUAAGACUGUUUCUGAAGAGUGUUGGGAUAUGCAUUUGAUGAUUUGGAAUAUAUUCCGGAGGUUACUAAAUAUAUUCGGAAGAACGUUAAGAGCCAUGAACAUAAAGCAGGUGGAUA